rnacentral:tRNA from 1 species
GUUUUAAUAAUUUAAAAAAAAAAUUUUGGUCUUGUAAAUCAAAAAUAAGGCUAAUCCUUUUAAAACU